GAUUGACUUGCUGUGAUUGGUUAGAGCGUGGUGCUGAUAACGCCAAGGUUGCAGGUUCAAUCCCUGUAAGGGACA